rnacentral:rRNA from 1 species
UACGUAGGGGGCAAGCGUUGUCCGGAUUUAUUGGGCGUAAAGAGCGCGUAGGCGGCCAGACAGGUCCGUUGUGAAAACUCGAGGCUCAACCUCGAGACGCCGAUGGAAACCGUCUGGCUAGAGUCCGGAAGAGGAGAGUGGAAUUCCUGGUGUAGCGGUGAAAUGCGCAGAUAUCAGGAAGAACACCCGUGGCGAAGGCGGCUCUCUAGUACGGUACUGACGCUGAGACGCGAAAGCGUGGGGAGCGAACAGG